rnacentral:lncRNA from 1 species
CUGAGGCUGCUCGGUUACUGUCAAAGUGUAAAGAUGGCGGAAUUCUUGAGUUCAGAGACGUGGCUCGUGAGAUGGUGAAUGUUCCAUUUAACAGAGUUCAUCUUAUCGUUCCUUCUUCCGCUAUUACUCACACCAAACAAACCCUACUUGAUACUGUUCCUGAAGAAUAAUUAUGUUAAUUAGAUUAUUUUCUAAUUUAUGUACGUAGCUAGAGGUUUCGUUUGCGGCUGUAAUCUUGAGGAGGGAACCAGUUUCUUCUUGGGUUUUAAAGUUUUUUUAGCUGCUCUCUUUCUUCAUCAGAUGCCAAGAAAGCUGCUCAACUUCCCCCCCCCCCCCCCCUUUUGGGUUUUAUGCUGGUAGGUUAUGACUAGAUAGUCACGGUGUUUACCAAGUUUCCCAAACAAAUAAAUUACUGUUACUAUAUAAAUUAUAAAUUAUAUUUACCAACACAUUUUUGUUGGAUGUCGGACUUUUUUUAUUCUUUAUUUAAGAGAUUAUGUUAUUAUUAAUGUAUAUAUGUAAAUUAUUUUUGUGUUAUCAUGUUAAAAUUAAGAAAAUAUUUG